rnacentral:rRNA from 1 species
ACUCCUACGGGAGGCAGCAGUGGGGAAUAUUGCACAAUGGGCGCAAGCCUGAUGCAGCCAUGCCGCGUGUGUGAAGAAGGCCUUCGGGUUGUAAAGCACUUUCAGUCGUGAGGAAGGUAGUGUAGUUAAUAGCUGCAUUAUUUGUACGUUAGCGACAGAAGAAGCACCGGCUAACUCCGUGCCAGCAGCCGCGGUAAUACGGAGGGUGCGAGCGUUAAUCGGAAUUACUGGGCGUAAAGCGCAUGCAGGUGGUUUGUUAAGUCAGAUGUGAAAGCCCGGGGCUCAACCUCGGAAUAGCAUUUGAAACUGGCAGACUAGAGUACGUGUAGGAGGGGGUAGUAAG